GCUGGCGGCACGCCUAACACAUGCAAGUCGAACGAAGUAGCAAUACUUAGUGGCAGACGGGUGAGUAACAUGUAGGUAUCUACCCUGUGGCCUGGAAUAACACGAGGAAACUUGUGCUAAUACCGGAUAAGUCUUUACGGAGAAAGCUUUAUGCACCAUUGGAUGAGCCUGCACUUGAUUAGUUAGUUGGUAGGGUAAUGGCUUACCAAGACUUUGAUCAAUAGCUGAUUUGAGAGGAUGAUCAGCCACAUUGGGACUGAGACACGGCCCAAACUCCUACGGGAGGCAGCAGUGGGGAAUCUUGCACAAUGGAGGAAACUCUGAUGCAGCGAUGCCGCGUGAGUGAAGAAGGCCCUUGGGUUGUAAAGCUCUUUCGUCGGGGAAGAAAAUGACUGUACCCGAAUAAGAAGGUCCGGCUAACUUCGUGCCAGCAGCCGCGGUAAUACGAAGGGACCUAGCGUAGUUCGGAAUUACUGGGCUUAAAGAGUUCGUAGGUGGUUGAAAAAGUUGGUGGUGAAAUCCCAGAGCUUAACUCUGGAACUGCCAUCAAAACUUUUCAGCUAGAGUUUGAUAGAGGAAAGCAGAAUUUCUAGUGUAGAGGUGAAAUUCGUAGAUAUUAGAAAGAAUACCAAUUGCGAAGGCAGCUUUCUGGAUCAUUACUGACACUGAGGAACGAAAGCAUGGGUAGCGAAGAGGAUUAGAUACCCUCGUAGUCCAUGCCGUAAACGAUGUGUGUUAGACGUUGGAAAUUUAUUUUCAGUGUCGCAGCGAAAGCGAUAAACACAC
rnacentral:rRNA from 1 species